AAAGAAAGUAAUAAAUAAUAUUAUAUAACGCUCACCAAUACACUAAACAUAUAUAGAAUAUUAAAUACGUAUUUAGAAUAUUCGGAUUGGUACGAAUGAACUGUCAUGCGCAUGUACGCAUCUCGCUAUUUUGCACAUCAUCAUGUUGCGGCGUCUGCACGCGCAACGCCGCAACAUGAUGAUGUGCGCGAGUUAUAUUAAAAGCAAGAGAGGAAGAAACACUAUUUGAGCGUAAAGUAGAAGAGUAGACGAGUAAGGAAAGAAAGAUGUAAAAGAGAGAUCAACCUCACAGCUUGGAAUUUACAGUGUGCCGAACAGAAUAUGUGGACCUUGAAGCUCAGCGAACCAUUAUAUGUAUAGAAAAUUGACAGAGCAAUUCAUAUCAAAAGGAUUAUCUAAAGGUGUACUUCCUAGUUCUUCAAGUAUGUUAUUUUAUGGCAUUAUCUUAUGGCAGGCUAGGUAAGAGAAUAAUGACAAAUGUUAUAAUUUUAUUUUAAUAUUGUAUUGCAACUGAGUGGCUCUUAAAGGUAUCGUACAACUAUCUUUUUUAGAUUACUGAAAUAAAUAAAAAGCGUGAAAUCUGAUCUGAAACAAUUACAACAAAGUAUACAGACUAAUAUCACUCAACUAACCUGCCGAUGAUGUGGUCGCAGG